rnacentral:rRNA from 1 species
UACAGAGGUCUCAAGCGUUGUUCGGAUUCAUUGGGCGUAAAGGGCGCGUAGGCGGCGGGGUAAGUCUGGUGUGAAAUCUCGGAGCUCAACUCCGAAAUUGCACUGGAUACUGCUCUGCUUGAGGGUUGGAGAGGAGAUCGGAAUUCACGGUGUAGCAGUGAAAUGCGUAGAUAUCGUGAGGAAGACCAGUGGCGAAGGCGGGUCUCUGGACAGUUCCUGACACUGAGACACGAAGGCCAGGGGAGCAAACGGG